rnacentral:rRNA from 1 species
UACGUAGGUGGCAAGCGUUAUCCGGAAUUAUUGGGCGUAAAGCGCGCGCAGGCGGUCCUUUAAGUCUGAUGUGAAAGCCCACGGCUCAACCGUGGAGGGUCAUUGGAAACUGGGGGACUUGAGUGCAGAAGAGGAGAGCGGAAUUCCACGUGUAGCGGUGAAAUGCGUAGAGAUCGGGAGGAACACCAGAGGCGAAGGCGGCGACCUGGACAGGUACUGACACUCAACUACGAAAGCGUGGGGAGCAAACAGG